UACAGAGGUCUCAAGCGUUGUUCGGAUUCAUUGGGCGUAAAGGGUGCGUAGGUGGCGAGGUAAGUCGGAUGUGAAAGCUCGGAGCUCAACUCCGAAAUGGCAUUGGAAACUACCUUGCUCGAGGGUUGGAGGGGGGACUGGAAUUCUCGGUGUAGCAGUGAAAUGCGUAGAUAUCGAGAGGAACACCAGUGGCGAAGGCGACUACCUGGCCUGUUCUUGACGCUGAGGCGCGAAAGCUAGGGGGAGCAAACGGG
rnacentral:rRNA from 1 species